rnacentral:rRNA from 1 species
CUUGGUCAUUUAGAGGAAGUAAAAGUCGUAACAAGGUCUCCGUUGGUGAACCAGCGGAGGGAUCAUUACCGAGUUUUAUACUCCCAACCCUGUGAACAUACCAAUCGUUGCUUCGGCGGGCGACCCCGGGGGGGUCCCCAGGCGCUCUUGCGCGCCCGCCGACGGCGCCAAACUCAAGCUUCAGCGGACUUCUGAGUGAAAAACAAACAAGUAAAAACUUUCAACAACGGAUCUCUUGGCUCUGGCAUCGAUGAAGAACGCAGCGAAAUGCGAUGAGUAAUGUGAAUUGCAGAAUCCAGUGAAUCAUCGAAUCUUUGAACGCACAUUGCGCCCGCCAGUACUCUGGCGGGCAUGCCUGUCCGAGCGUCAUUUCAACCCUCGAGCAACCCCGCUCGGCGUUGGGGACCUACGGCGCACUGCCGUAGCCCCCUAAAACCACCGGCGACGCCGCCGCGGCUUCUUUGCGUAGUAACACAACCUCGCACUGGAACGCUGCCGUGCCUGCCGCUAAAACCGCCCUACGGCACUAUAAGGUUGACCUCGGAUCAGGUAGGAAUACCCGCUGAACUUAAGCAUAUCAAUAAGCGGAGGA